rnacentral:rRNA from 1 species
UACGUAGGGAGCAAGCGUUGUCCGGAUUUAUUGGGCGUAAAGAGCGUGUAGGCGGCCAUACAGGUCAGCUGUGAAAACUCGAGGCUCAACCUCGAGACGUCGGUUGAAACCGUAUGGCUAGAGUCCGGAAGAGGAGAGUGGAAUUCCCGGUGUAGCGGUGAAAUGCGCAGAUAUCAGGAGGAACACCAAUGGCGAAGGCAGCACUCUGGGACGGUACUGACGCUGAGACGCGAAAGCGUGGGGAGCAAACAGG